ensembl:lncRNA
CUUCGCGCCACUUCGCGCCCUCGGGCGAGGCCAAAGGGGUGGGGGCGACCCGGCUGCGGCUCGUGCCCCUCGGCGAAGCCCCCAGGGUGCCCAGGCUGGGCGACUCCCCCGGCGGCCGCACCCCCGGCCUGGGGCCUCCGGUCGUAGUAAAGCGGAGGCGGGCGCGAGAGCCCGGCGCCGGGCGAAGAUGGUGGCGGCUACUCCUCCCGUCAUACACGUGGACCUAACCUAACCGCACCAAAGCUUUUCAAAGGAUACUUGGCUGAGGAGGAAGUUUCCCGAAUGGGUAAGGAUAUUUUUAAUUUUCUGUGUUAACUUUUCUUGAUAACAAUUUUCUCGACUUCUCUUUGAGUUGAAUAAAUACAAUAGGAUCGGGCUAUUAAAGCAUGAAAGUAGAUGUUUUGGAUUUUGUCAGUUUACCUUUUCUAGAAAAAUCGUUAAGUUUGCGUCAACUAGUUUUUAAGGUAGUAAAAAGUACAGUGCAGAAACCCUUAUACAUCUUUGGAAACGAAUGCAGUUUGCAAAAUACAGGUUUAGGACUUUAGGUUGAAUGAGAAAGGAGAUCUAAUUUAGGUUGAUUGCAUUUUUAAGAUCUUAAACAUAUUUAAAUUGGCCAAUUAAUAAAAUUGAAAUGUAGUCUGAGCAGUAAUUUCGUUAAUCAUUUUAUCGAAUAUUUGCUAAUUGGAAGCCAGAAGAAAAGGAAAUGUUUUGCCACGUGGAUGUGAAGAUUUCCUCUCAAAGGUAUUCAAAAGUCAAAUAACUGUUGAUAAUGUUCUCUCUUACAUGCAGCGUGAUUUUGAUUUUUUUUUUUUUUUUCCUUGACUUACGAAUUUGUGAAAGGCCAGGCCACGUGUAAGGAACAGCCACCACUUCACAACAUUAGACUAGGGGUUGGUUAUUCUUGUAAAGAAUUUUGUAUUUUUAAGACUUGAAUGUGUCAUAAGUGAAAUUUGUAGCUAUGAGAUAAUUAAGCUAAUUUUUUUUCCUUGUUAGAGACUAUGGGAAUUUUGUGUUUCAGAGCUCUUAGAAUUUGAGUUGUUAUUCUAAUUAUUUAUUUCAAAUUUAGCAGGAAUAAAGGGAACAUCACCUUGUAAAACUGAAGAUUGUGACCAGUCAGAAUAAUGUCAAAGUGCUUACAGUGCAGGUAGUGAUAUGUGCAUCUACUGCAGUGAAGGCACUUGUAGCAUUAUGGUGACAGCUGCCUCGGGAAGCCAAGGUGGGCUUUAAAGCGCAGGGUCUGCUGAUUUUGAGUGCUUUUUGUUCUAAGGUGCAUCUAGUGCAGAUAGUGAAGUAGAUUAGCAUCUACUGCCCUAAGUGCUCCUUCUGGCAUAAGAAGUUAUGUUUUCAUCUAACAAUUCAAGUCAAGUAUCUAGGGGUUUUAAUAGUUUUUGUUUGCAGUCCUCUGUUAGUUUUGCAUAGUUGCACUACAAGAAGAAUGUAGUUGUGCAAAUCUAUGCAAAACUGAUGGUGGCCUGCUAUUUCCUUCAAGUGAUUUUUACUAAUUUUGUGUACUUUUAUUGUGUCGAUGUAGAAUCUGCCUGGUGUAUCUGAUGUGACAGCUCUUGUAGCACUAAAGUGCUUAUAGUGCAGGUAGUGUUUAGUUAUCUACUGCAUUAUGAGCACUUAAAGUACUGCUAGCUGUAGAACUCCAGCUUCGGCCAGUCGCCCAGUCACACUGUCCUGUCCUGUCCUGUUACUGAACACUGUUCUAUGGUUAGUUUUGCAGGUUUGCAUCCAGCUGUGUGAUAUUCUGCUGUGCAAAUCCAUGCAAAACUGACUGUGGUAGUGAAAAGUCUGUAGAAAAAGUGAGGGAAAAUCAAACCCCUUUCUACACAGGUUGGGAUCGGUUGCAAUGCUGUGUUUCUGUAUGGUAUUGCACUUGUCCCGGCCUGUUGAGUUUGGUGGGGAUUGUGACCAGAAGACUUUGAAAAUUAAGUAUUGCUGAAGAUUGUGAUUUCCACUGUAAAAUGUUCGAGAGAUUUGAAAUGUUUAAAAGAACUUGGGUAGCUUAUGUAGAACAUGUACAACUUUUUGUUUCUUGAAGUUAAGUAUUGUCUUUUAUACUAAAACAUUUGAAAAGUUUUAGUUAGAUAUAAUUUGGCUGUCAGGUAUUCCAGUAUGAUUGUACAGGAAAUUUAUUGUAAAUGUAUGGCAAUCUGUAAAGUCAGAAUAUUCCUUUUUGUUUUCUUUGGACCUAGUGUUAAUCCAGGAUGCUUUAUUCAAUCAAAAAGUUAAUAAAUUAUGUCACUUAAGAAUAUUUAAAUGGCUAAAAAUACCGUUUAAAUCCUUAUGUGAAUUUUUUUUUAAAGCAUGGCUGGAGUGUUUCCAGUAACCAGAUACUAUUGUGUGAAUACAUGUGUUCUUGAUGUGCAGUGGUUCUAUAAGUGGUUCUAUACUAGUUUUUUUUGUUUGUUUUUUUGGCAGUUGUUAAUGAUUUAUGUCUUGCCAAGUGACCUAGGGACCUCAGACUGUUCUGCCUUGUGGGACCUAAAAAGUGGGAACGAAAAAGAUAAAGAACAAUAUAGAUGCUAAAUGUUGUGAUAAGUAUUUAUUUUGUGCACAUGCUUCCUUAAUACCAAGUGUGCUGCAGUGGAGUGAAAAUCUGAAAUUAGUUUUUCUCCAAAUCUGCAGUUAAUAUUUACUGAACUUUGGCAACAAUGAGUUUAUUCCAGGUUGGUGUGAUUUCUGUCCCUGGAGUGGAAUCUUAAGAAGUGAAGUUUAACUUUUUAUUUGACGUUUCUGCCAUUUCCCUUUUGUCCAGGAGUUUUGUCUUUGUUUAGACUAUAUUUUUUAUGUGUUUUAUUAAAAAUGGCUUGUCUUAGUAGAUUGAAAAGGACCAUUUGCUAAAAAUUGGACUUGAGAUCCAGGGACCCUUUAAGCUUUGCAAAAUACUGUAUUUUGGAGGAAGUUGCUAUUUCAAUAAUACAAAGUAAAGUUCAGUAACCUUAGUAAUUACACCACCUGAUAAAAUAGAUAACAUUUUUUAAAGUACAUUGGGUGAAGUCUUAAGAAAAGUUUUCAUCUCUAAUGUAUCUCUAAGAAAUUUUAAUUCUUGAAUAGACAGGUAAUUAUUUGACAGUUCUGGAGUUAAUUUCUAAGCUAGAUUUUUCAGAAAGAAAAAAGUCAAAAUAUAUAAUGGUUUAUUUAAAAUCUAAUAGUUGACCUGAAUUCUUGAACCUUUUGUAUUGAUGGAAAUGUAAUUGUUUCAGUUUGGCUAUUUAAUGAAAAACAUUGCUUUAAAUUUUUAAAAAUUCCAUGUUUUUGGUGCUUUGGAAAAAGGUAUGCUGUGGCAUUUGUGUCUGUUUUAAAAGCUUGAUUAUACUAGCACCAUUUUUUUAAAAAAUGGAACCUGUGAUGAGCCUGCUGAGGAUGGUUUCUUAUGCUAGCACAUAAGUCAGAUUUCAACGGAGUUUUAAAUGGUUAACUCCCUGGAUGCUGAACCUGUAUACUUAACUGUUCAGAACUUCCUUGGACUUGGAUUAAGAUUUAAUUCUAAUGAACAAGCUAAUAAAUGAAUAUGUUUAGUGUGGUUGGCAGUAUUGUGUAGAGUUUAGAGAUUUUGUUUCUGGUUAAGUGUACAACAUUUUACGUUGGAUCUGUUAAGAUUUUUUUCCCCUUGGGUAUGAUAAUAUAUACUAGCAAACAAUGUAAGUAUAAUUUAAAUGUAGCCAUCUUAAGAUACCAAUACUUGAACAAGUUGAUUACUGACUCAUCUGUAAUUAACCUGGGGAGAAAACAUCUUUGACCUGAGGCUUACCAGUGCUUUUUGGCUUUGACAGCCUGAAAACUUCUGAGAAAAAAAGGAACUUAAUGUGCUUUUGCAGGCUGUGCAUGUACAUGUCUUAUUUUUAGUCUGCAUAUAGAAGGCUAUCACUUAACAUUCUAUUUAACGCUGUUUAUAAAGUAUCAGACAUUCACUAAAAACUCUGGAGUCUUUGUUUUACAGGCAAGCCUGUCUUAAGCACAACAAACCAGACUUUGGGUUUUUCCUGUGCAUAAACUUGAAGAGUUCUUCAUACUGAUUCCUGACAAAUUUUGAACUGAAACUGCCUGGAGAAUAGUUUGGUGUACAUUAAAGUUUAUUGUAAAUCUAAUGAAAUACUGUUCUGUUAGUAACUGAGUAAUUGACUACUUUGUAGUUUGUCUAAUAUUGGAGGAUUUUGAGAACUCAGCUGAGCAGUAAAGGUAAGAAGAUCUCCGUAUACAAGGUUCAUUUUGGGUGUCUGACGGGAAGUAAAAGCAUGAGUUUCUAGAGUACUGUAUUCUUCGGCUUAGAGAUGUUUUAAUAGUUUACUCUUUUUUUUUUAAAGCUAUGUUAUAAGUACAUUUUUUUUUUAAUUUAUUUAUUUAUUUGGUACUAGGGAUUGAACUUGGGUCCUUGCGCUUGCAGAGCAGGCUGCGGAACCAGUGAGCUAAAUCCCUGGCCCCUAUAGUUUAUUUCUACUCAGUCUGAACUAAUGUAAAUUUCUCAUUUGGUAGAUAAAACUCAUUGUAUUUACUGAGUUUUAAAAAAUUACUAGGAAAAUGCAUGUACUCUAUGGAUUUUAAGACCCUAGGAAAUGUUGUCAAAGGCAUUUCCAAAUAACCUGAAUACAGAAGCACAGCACUUAGGGAUGCCUGAUUAUGAAUUUAGAAUUUGGUCAUGCUGUUUGAGUUAUUUUAGGGCAAUUAAUAAAAUACUCCAUUUGAAACUGUUUGUUUAAAAAUUACCCAUAAUGAGCAUAUUGGAAUAAAAAGGUUAUUUUUCUGAUGCUGUUUUUUUGUUUUGUUUUGUUCUUAUAAGAGUCUAAAAUUUAAUUGAGGAAGUGGGCAUAGGUACCAGAGUUAAUCUAUACCUAUUUAGUUAAAUCUAGUAAGGUAUCAAGUAAUUCUUAAGUUGACAAUUGAUCUGGAUUCCUAAUAUGUAACUAUUCGAUAAUGAAUGGCUCACUUGUUAGCUUAUUUUAAAUUUGUUGAAUGACAUAGAUGCUUCAAAUCUAGUCACUUGGGAUUUUAUUAAUAACCAUUAUAUUGGCACAUCUCCAUUUUGACUAGGAUCUUAUACAUGUUACUAAGGUGUUUCAGACCCUGUGGUACACUGAAGUUGAAGCCUAGCAGGGAAGCUCAAGGUUUGUGGAAUAAUUUAAAUGCUUUUGCUACUCAUUUGGUUCUAGGGUUGAAUGUUUUCUGUAUUUAGAACAAAUUGAACGAGAUGGUAUGUUCUAAGCAAGCUUCUAAGUUCAGCAGUUUUUAAACGUUGAAAAAAAGUCACAGUAAAUCCUUUGAAAAUAAGGUACUAGAUACAGCUUCAUGAAGUAUGCUGGUGUCCAGUACUUUAAAAAACAAGUAAAUGCCAACACAAAUGUAGAUUUAGUCAUUAUAGGCCAGUUAUUUAACAUAAAGAACAAAACAAAUGGUUGGUAUCCCUUAAAUGAUAAGUAAUUAGCUGAAUGAGCAUUGCUAAGACCAGAGACCUAAAUUUAGGGGUGUGUAUAUAUUUCCUAAGAGAAUUAGCACGUGCCCAUCGUGAUGCUUGUUUACUUGUGUCAACUUCAGUUUGCACAGAGUAAAAUACAUUGAAAGCUUGAAUUCCAAUAACCUGAAAGUGAAUUUUGUACAUAGUUGAGAUUUAACUCCAGGGAGAAUACCUUUGUUUCAGGCGUUAAGACUUCAGUGCAAGAAUAGAUGAAAAUUGGAAGCCUCUUGUAAGGUAGUUUAGGUAAUGUGUCACGUAGUUUGAUCCCUCAACACAAAAGUGCAUGGGUCAGGUUCACCAAAGACUUAAAACUAGAACUUUCAGAGUAAUUAUAAAAUUACUGGGGUACAGUUUUUAACUGUACUUGGGUGAUACAAUUGAUAAUUUGAUAGUUCACAAAAUAGACCUGGACUUUUCAGUCUAGGUAUGUUAGAAUCUUUGAGCAGGCUACUGAACAGACAGGUGUUCUGAGGAAUAUUUUGAUUUUGAUAUAUACUCAGAAUAUAAUCACUACCCUGAGUUGUCAGAAAUGGCACUGAAUGUCAGAGCAACACCUUAGAGUUUGUAGGGAUGUAAGAGACUAAAUAGUUCCAUAGGCAUUCACUCCUUGUUUUAUAGUUAGCUUAUUUUGCUUGCCAUUGCAAUUUUUGGCCAACUUCAAGUUCACGUUUGUUUCUGAAUCUGCAGACUUGCUCACUAUCCAACCGUAGGUAGUAGCUUUCCCCUUACUUGGCUCUCAUACACCACACAUAUAAUGUCUUUGUGUACUAUACAUAGAUUUCCUCAGGGGUUGUUUCAGAACAAGUAAGAGGGUGAAAGAUAUAGGCUACAUUUUCCAGGUAUUGGUCCUCCAGGAUUUGAAUUCCCCUCUAAUAAAUCUUUCAAAUCUAGCCUCAGAACACUUGAAGCAAAACUCCAGAGCUAUAACAAAGCAGCUACUUUAUCUAGGAAUUAUGCUUGGAAUUCUGUCUCAUUACAUUCAUUACUGCAACUCCUAAGGAAUCUCAGUCUAAGCAACACUUGAUUGAGAAUUCCAUGCUUAUUUUUUUAACCCUCAUAAGAAUUUUGUAAUCUCUAAAAUUGUAAGUUAUGCAGUUUCUGCCAUGUCCGAAAUAUUACUAGUGUGUAGAAUGCUUAAACCUUCAAUAGGGCCCAUGAAUGAAUUUCCUAGAAUGAGAGGUUGAGGGGAAGGAAGCAGCAAAAGUGAGAUCAGAUUCUAAUAUAUGUUUGACUUUAUGCAUGUGUAAUCAUCUUGGGGUACAUUUGACAACUUGAAGUAAUUAGUGUUAGCAGGGUUCUUGGCUUAAGUAAGUAGAAUUUAGAGUAAACAUUAAUCCUUCAGCAAAGAUAAAAGAAAGUUUCCUAAAGGUAGAAGGGUCAACAAAGAAAAUCUGAUAAUUCAAAUUAUGUGGGAAUGUAAUGGUGCUCUCUUGGGAAUACUUACCUCCUAAAUCUCACAACGCAACUGACAACAGUGAGGGCACCAAAAAUUCUGUACUUGUACAAAGAAAGGUGAAAAUACUGUACUGAGAGGCAGCAGUUAGUUUAGUAAAGUUAGUAGUUCUCAACAUGAUUAUGUUACCUGAAGUACAGGCUUUUGUUUUUUAAAUCAUGGUUCUUUGUGCUACAGUUUCAAGCUCCUGUUUUUGGUUCAGCAAGCAGUUUAACAUUUCCAUUUCCCUUGUCUAGUACAUUUACAUUUAGAAUAUCAAUACUAACCAAAACUCUUAAUUUUCCAAUAGGUUUCACUCCAAGCAGAAUUUACACAGAAGCUCUACUCUGGUGUAUGAUUAAAUUUUGAGCUGAUUGUUUGGCAAAGUUAUAUAGUAAACCAGUAACACUUGAGACAGGCUGUGUAUGUAUUAUGAGAGAAGAAUGAUAAAGGAUUGAGGAGUCCUGCUGUCACCUCAUAUUACAGAAAAUAAAGACAAGUUGAUAGGCUAGUUGAGGUCUCAGAACUAUACAUAUAUACACAUAUGCCUUAGCACAGUAGGUCUAGUCUGUGGGCUCCAAGAAUAUGUAAAUCCCAUUGUAAAUAUUCUGAGUUGCCACCUGAUAAUUGCCUAAUGGGUCGAGGAGUUUUAAGCAACUACUUAAGGAGUCUUAUUAGAGUUUAAUGUCAGGUUCUGGGUUCAAGUAUCAGUAGCCCCUGUUGGGGCAGUUUUAGUAUUCGACCCCCCAAAUUGUAAGCUCAGCUAGGCUUUUCCAUCGUGGUCAGUGGUGGCUGUCAUGAUUAUCUGGUUCACAUCAGCUGAAAGACCUUCCUUCAAAACAAAAUUUCAUCUCCACUCUGCUUGAACAAAUGUAGAUCUCUGGCCUACCAGAAGUAAGCCUGUGGGGGAGAGGUAAGAUCAAGGUUAGGCCUAAGUCUUAUGAUAAUGACUGACAGGUCCCCUUCCCCUCCCUGAAGCACACAGGAUACACAGGCAGAGUGAUGGUGCAGUUAGUAAGAGAUAAGAAUGCCCUAAGGGUUGAGGAAUAGCACCUUGGUUGACUAGACAGCAAAAAUGGAUUCUCAGAAUUGCAGGAGGGGGUUGAGAAGGUAGCCGCUGAGGCAAGCAACCAGGCUGCAGUGGUGUUCACCUGCUGUUGCUAGGUUCUCAGCUGUAAUGCUACUUCCUCAAAAAGGCCCUCCCUGAGUACCAGCCUUAUCUGAGUACCUGCCAUUUUUAUUCGGUGCACCAAGUAAAACUUUAAGUUGUAUCAAUGAUGUUUGUAUCAUUUUAUUGCCUAUUAUAUUUCAUAGUCCCACUGUAGUUAAUUACCAUAAAUUUAAACCUUAAGUUAAUGAAUUAAGGAAAGUUUUUUCAACAGUCCGUGGAAGGGGACAAAACACAAAGUGACUGGCUUAAGAAUUUUCCUCUGCAGUGCCAGUUUAAGAGGCUUGAAAAAAUGAUUGUAAGUCAAAUAUCCAGUUGCCAUUCUCUGAGUAAAAUGAUUUGCUCAGAACAGAAGGGGUGAUAGUAUACUUCUCACAUUCUCAUUCCAGGAAAAAUGUCUAGAAGUACGUAAGUCAACUAGCAGGUUAAGUCCAGAGAGGGGAAACUGAAAUAAGUGCAACCAGUAGGACGUGUGAACACUGAAGUGAAAUGAAGAUAGCAUCUGCAGAGUCUAAGGCAGUGUUUUUUUAAGUCUCAAAAUUAGCUUAAUCUGGGGCAUGAUCCUUUAGAGAAUAAAUAACACUAUUUUUUGGUUAAGAGAACAAAUGGUUUGAAUGUUUAUUUCAAAGGAAUUAGAAUUAUAUAUAUAUACUAGGACAUCAGUAGAAAAAAGGUACAUCACAAAACAGGAAAUAAGCAUUUUAAUUGAAGUUAAGCACAGAAGUUGUGUUUAUAAAUUAGUUUCUGUUUUAACUCAAGACAGUUAUACUCAAGUUCCAUAACAUACAGACAUUUUUGGCCAUUAGGAAUGUAGAGAUGAUCAAAGUCCUUGACUUUACCUUGAAAUUCUCUGGCCCAAUAGCAAGAUCAUCUGCUAAAUGCCAGAUCUUUGAAAAUGAGGAAGACAUAGUGUAUUCUUUCAAAUGAUUAAGCCUUCAUUAAGUACUUGUUGAAUGAAUUGAAGGUUUCUUUUAAAUAUGACUUGGCCAUUAAUAGAUUCUUUGAUGUAUUGCAGUAGGUAUAUAUCUGUUAACAUUUCUCACCUGAUGCCGAGUUUUGUCCAGACAGCUUGCCUUGGUGAAAAGAACAGAAAAAGAUUGUGUGUGGCAGGGACUGAGGGGCAGUGAAUAUAAAGAAAAUGCUAUCUCUGCACAUUUGUAUGUGAUGUGUAAGGAUGACAGGAGUGGCUGAAUGGGGCAGGACAGUGAUCUGGUUAAUUCUGAGAACUAGUGUGGUAAGAGAAUUCAGAACAAAUCUCAAGAAUAACAAACCUGCCUUUUAAGUAAGGAAGUGGGAAACCAGACCAUGACUUCAGGACUGCCAUUCUCCCAGAUCACUAGUCUUAGUGAUGGCAAACCUUUUCGAGCUUUCCAUGAUUGAUAAUAGUGGGCUACAGCAUGUUUGCCAUCAGUUCGCCACUACUGCCCUAUUCUAAAGGCUAUGUGUCCUCAAGGAUGUUGCAGGUAAUUUUGCGGUAAGCCUUACUAGAAUUAGUGAAAUGAAGUGGUAACUGACACUAAAUGACAGCUUACAAAGUACUACUGGAGCUCAGACAGGGAAAUGACUAAUGCAGUAAGUACUGUGUGCAUUUGGUACCCAUUACAACACACAAGUAAUUAAAAGGGACUUGUUCUCUAAAAGCGUAUGUAAAUAUAGUAAUUAGGUCUCUCUUUUUUUGAUAGUUUGGUUGUAGUGUGUUGAUCCUUGCUUAAUAUGAGGAUUCUAAUAUUGAACGUUUUUUUCCCAGCCAAAAAUGAAAUGUGCAAGUUACUACCAAGUGAAGCCAUUCAUAGUUGAUAUGACACUGCUAGUGAGUAAAUUCCUGUAUGGGUUUAUUUAUUUAUUUGAUUUGGUUUGGUUUUGCUUAUUUAGUAUUUCAGACAUCUUACUGUUAUAGAAAUGCUAUGCCUUCUUAAACUGAUGGAAUAUUAGAAUCAAAGACCUAAACACAUUUUAUUCGUUUUAAAGACCUGUGUGAUCCUGCUGAUGUUUAAAGCCAACUGUAAUAUUUUAAUCAUAGGUUUGUUUCCCAAUGGAUGCCAUUCAGAAGUAAUUUUCAUUUUUUGAAUAGGGUUAUUUGUAUUCAUUUGGUUUAUUAAAAAAAUUAAGGGACAGCAAUAUAUUUAGCAGUCAUGUAAUUCAGCUUUAAAUUACAGGUUUCUUACACAUAUCCAGUUCUGGAUAAUGAUAGGAUCUAGAAAAAAGGAAGCACUGGUGAACUUGAAAAAAAAAUUACCAGGAAAAUGCUAAAAUCAUACUUUGAAAAUACAGUGAGGUUAUGUGGGCAAUUAAUUAAAUGUUAUAUAAUGCCACCAUUUUAAACAGCUGCAAAUGACUUAGUUAUCUUUGCUCAUAAAAUAACAAUGGUAGCUAUCUACAGCACAUGAUACUAAAGUAAGAUGCUGAGGAAAAUUCCAAGAUUAGGUGGGUUUUUACACAUUUGCCAUGUUGCAAUAGUCUUAAGUGCUGCUGAUGCUAUACUUUCUUAAUCUCAUCAAAUAAUUGGGACAAGUUUGAGGAAAUCAAUCUCUACUAAAUAGUUAACCAUAAAGUAUAUUUGUAUGAGCAAACAAAAUGCUUUCAAAAUGUUGCACUUUUGAAACUGUUUGAAUCUUCUCUGUUGAUCCGACGGCUUUGUUUGCAAAGGUAGACUGAAGUGGAGUUAAGCAAUUGGUGAGCACAUUUGAACACUACAGAUGACUAUACAGGAUAAAAUGAAUAAAGUGAUUUUUAGAAAAUUUACUUAAUGACAGCAGACCUUUACUCUUCUUAGUUCCCCAUGAGUUUCUAGUCGAGUAAUUGUUGUAGUUAGUCUUACAUAUUUGCUUGCUCUAGUUCUCCUGUUCUGUUUCCUCCUCCCCCAAAAGCUUUUUCCCCCCUCUAUUGAUCUACUAUAUUUAUUGUCAGUGAUAUGCAUGUGGUAAGGAUUUUUGUCUAGUAAUUAUUAACCCUAUCCUUACACAAGUAUUUGUAUCAAGGUAAUCAGAAUAUGUUUUUAGUUUCUGUUGGAUACUUUUUACAUAUAUGGAAAACUAAGGUACAAGGGUAAUUAUUUUUUUAAAUGGUAUAGUUUGAAACAAGUGAUGAAGGCCACAUUAUUUUUUCACAGAUUCAUGAAUUUACUACCACCUGAACUUACCUGCCUGUUCACAGGGCCACAAUCUUAAUCAGAACCUUAUGUUUCCUUGUCUCAAUUCACAGUGCCUGUGGUUCCCAUGUUGUCUACUGUCUUGAAACCAUCUUAGUCUGAGAAGAAUUUUUCCUUGCCCAAGGAACAAAGUAAAGUUGUACAUAGCAAUACAUUGAGACAUUAAAAGAUUUUACCCAGUUCUCUUUACUUCCUGUGUACUUUUUUUCUGUCAGCUCUUACUCAUUCUCAUAAGUGGAAAAGAAGGAAGUUUUGCAAAAUAUCCCUUGCAGGGACGUGAAAAGAUGUGCAUAAACAAUAUAGUAAACUUAAAAGAUUGCAUAAGGAUUUGGGUAUCCCUGGAAAUCAUGGCUUGAAAAGAUCUUCAUCAUGAACAGGCAACAACUUAGUAGUGAAUUUGUAACUUGAUGUCCAAAGAUGAAAAAUGUUCCUUUGUGUGCAGAAAUUCAUUGUAGCUUCAUGUGUACAAGAUGUUGCAGAUGGAGGACAAUAGGAAAGGGCUGGAAGAGUUUGGUUUAGAAUCAUUUUGUAUAGCAAGUGGGUUAGAAAAGAGAAAGUGGGGGCUGGGAAUUAGCUCUAUUGGCUGCCCAUGAUGGAGAUUCUGAGUUCAAUUCCAAGCUGUGGGCCCCCCCCCCCAAAAAAAAGUAGUUAUGGGGGGAAGGAGUGAAAUGGAAUUAAGAGACUGUCUUAGUGGCUGAGCUCACAAGAGACAAAAGACCAUGGCUGAUUCCCAGUAAUAGGGUGUGAGUAUUGCUAAAAAGCAGUUGUGCCUCCUCCUCUGGACCUUGACAGGUACCUUAGUCCUGACUUGGUGAAAACAAAUAACAGAUUAUUCUGCUCUGCUGCAAAACUUAGAAGAAUGGGGUUUUUUUUAUAAUCUUAAAAGUCAUUUUGAAUGGCUUGAGUAAUUUUGUUACAGAAGCUGUCAUGUAGGACUUGUGUUAACUAAAGUUAAUAUGGUAGAUUACAAUUAUUUUCAAUCACUGUAUAUUAAUUUUAUCUUAACAUUUCAUCUUAACAUUAACAUCUCUAUGAGAUAUUCCCAAGUUGGGGAAGCAGGCGGGAAAGUAUACAGGUGAUCAAAUUGACAGGGGUAAAUGAGGCAGCCAAUGUGAACAUUUAGGAGGUCUGGCCAGGUGGGAUGAUGCAUGCUUGUAAUCCCAGUUAUCAGAAGGCUAAGGCAGGAGGAUUGCCCUGAGUUCAAGGCCAAGCUGAACUGCACAGUGAGACCCUGUGUCAAAAAGUCAAAAUCUAGGAAAUCUGGUUCAGGAACCAGUUUUCUUAACUGCUAUGCUGCCUUCUAGGCCAGCUUUCAUUAUAUGUUAGCAUAGUGGGAAUGUAAAAUGAUGUUACCACUGAGCAGAAAUAUUUGGGGGGUUUUAAUAUCUGAAUUUACCUAAAAAUACAAAUUCCAUUUGAUCCAGCUAUACACUACUUAUGAAUAUCUUCCCAAAAGAUUUAACCAUAAUUCUAAAUGAAAUCAGACACACAAGACUUAAAUAUCACAAUUUCUCAUAUGAGAAAUAGUAUAAGGAGCAAAGUAAAGAUAGUAGGGAAAACUAAGUUUAUACCUUUUCUCAGAUUUUGUGGGAUAAAUCACAUUUCUGUUCCAAUAAAAAGUUUAUAAAAAUUUCAGAAAGCUUUACCCUAAUAUACUCUCACCAGAAAGAGAGGUAUGCAAAGAAGUCACAACGUUAGUUCUUGAGUGGUAUUUUCAGUGAUUUUUUUCCUGUAAUUUCACUUUUAGUUUCAAACAAGUUCUUUUAAAAUAAAAAUUCUGUGUUGGUUUUUUACGUUAAAAUCAGUCAUCUAGUCACUUUUUAGAGAAGAUGUAUUUCAAAAUGAUUGAGAAAAUGUCAGUAAAUCAACAUUCUAUUAGAUGUAAUUAAAUAAUUAUUUUCAGAGACAGCCUAGAGAACUGGGAUAUUGAGUAAUUACAUAUUGCUAAGGAUGCAGCAAUGCCAGUAUUGUCAGGAAGCCUAAAAAUGGAGUGAUGAGCUUCCUAACGCAUUUCAUUGUGUUAGCAUUAGGAUCUAAGAAAUACUUUUAAAAUGUAAUGAUACAACCUCACCUAUGACAGAUGUGAAACAAUACAUAAUGCAAAUAUCUCAACAAAUUAGCAAAAUAGGUGUCAUCACUGUGACUUAGCUCUGCUUUGGUAAAUUAAUAGACUCGAGUGAAAUAGAACACAAAUUUUUGGCAUAACUUGGAAAAGUGUAGGCAAAAUUAUCAAUAUUAGCAUUCAAAAUAGUUGUCUGCAAUAAUUUUUAGAAAAAUUACUAGUAAGACUUCUGUGAGGUAAUUUAACACAUUAUGAAAUGAUUUUCCUAGAUACAAACAAGUUGCAAAACAAAAAUUGUAAAAUAGUUAACAGUGAAAAACAUCUAGAAAAAAAUUCAGAGACACUGAGAGUGAAAGGUAGAAAUGCUUUCCAAAAUUGCCUAGGAAUUGAAAGAUGGAGGGUCAUUUUUUCCCAUGCCUUUGUGAGGUUAACCACCCCAAACUGGGUAGCAUAUGUAUAUUGAUACCUAUAGGCUUCCUUAGCCAAGGAUACAAUACAGAUACAACAAGGGAUGUUGUGUGGUGGUUUAUAUUGCUGGUCAGUGCAUAGAAUCUGUUGCCUCAGAAGUGACAAGGUGGGAUCAAGGAGAUUUAAAAUGGUGCACAAAAGGUGUCAAAUGGAACGCAGUUCCUGCACUUAUGCUUGUGUCUUGCAUUAAUCCCAGCUUAAUCACAAAAGUGCCCAUCAAAGCUGUUGCCGGGCAGAAUCAUGACACUGUAAAAAAGAAUUAGCUGCUCCUCCAGCUUUUGUCAUUGAUACUCAGCCUUUCCUUCACCAUCCAUUCCUUCUAGAUUCCUAGAUCUCUGCCUUACUAGCAUUUCUGUUUCAGUUACUGAUAGGUGGUACUACCUGGACACUGAAACUUGAGACGGGCUCCUUGCCAUAUACUUUCUGGCCUUCCGCUACUCCAGUUUUUCAUUAAGUGAGCAUAAAAAGUAUAGAUGUAGCCUGGUGAGUCCCCUGAGCUCAGUAAAAACUGCCUCUUUUUAUACCUGUUACUCUAGCUCAUGGUUAUCAGGACAAGUCGUAGUCACCAUAACAGUACCACCUCCCACUCUUAAUUGUUCCUUCAUGAAGGAGGCCAAAAUUAUUAGGUGGUAAUUGUAGCAUCAAAUUAAUUUCAUCAAGUUCUUUGCAUACUCAUAAUGAAACCAUUUCUUGUCCCCUACUUACAGACCAGGACCUCAGAUACGGAAGACCUAAAGUUUCAGAGCUAGGGAGUACAGAUUCUGCAAAUAGAUCGCAAGUAAUGGUUUGAGAGGUCAGUCUUUCACCUCUUGAUGAAAUCCUUUUACUUCAUGUUGUGAGGGCUUCUUAGUGAAGCAACAUGUAUUCUAGAUACUGGGGCUAUAGUAUCUCUGUUAAUCAUGACGUGUCAACUUGAUUAAAACACACCUAGCAGAUUAUUAAAGCACACUUCUGGGUGUGUCUAGACAUGACUGGCAAGCAGGCUAGCAAAUGAGGGGAAGGGACCCACUCCCAUUGUGGGUAUUACCAACUAAUAGGCUUGUAGCCUGGAUGGAAUAAAAAGGAAAGAAGUAAGUUAGCAUAUAUUUUGAAGAGGUCCAUUCUGCUUGAGUGGGUGCAUCUAUUGCUUCCAUGUCCUAUGGAUAUACUGCAGUUUCUUCAGAAUUCUAAUGCGGAGUCAUACCAGCAACUAUCUGUUAGCUUAAAGACCUUCAGUCUUGGACUGGUGCUGUAUCCUUGAUCCCUUGUUUUCAUGGCUUGCAGAUUCUCGGACUGAGCAGUUACUGGAUCCUCCAGCUCUUGAGCACACAGAUGGCCAUCAUGGGCUUUCACUUCUGAUCCUGUAAGCCUACCUUAUAAAGCCCCUUGUGUUUAAAAAAAAUUAUCUAUCUAUACAUAUACUAUAUAUUUUACCAAUUGCAUUUCUCUAGAAAACUAAUAUAGUAUCUUAUGUUGGCCAUUGAUUUUAGUGCAUACUUCAUGGUGGCUUAUCUUGACCCAGGAGGGAUUGUCCCUGGCCUGAUGCUUGUUUGAGCCUUAAUGAGGCUAUUGUAUGUGGUGUUAGCAUUUUUGUAAUUAUGAUGAUCCUGGAUGAAGUGUAUUACUUAAGACUAUUGGACAGUGUGUUAGUGGCCUCAACUUUGCCAUAAAAUAAAUCUCUUGGUUUGAGGAAUAUGGGGGAUAUUAUACGUAACUGGAGAUUCUGUAAGUGUUCAGAUAGUGAUGGUGAUAGAAAAACUGAGCAAAGAAAACAAACUCACUUCUGGAAAGGGUCUAUUUAAGGAAGGACAAAUUGUUGUUUCCUUCUUAGUUUAAAUCUUGAGUCAAGAUAAUUAGUCUCCCAAGUGUUUGGCUAGGCUCUCAGUGCGUGACAGGUGAUUGCUACACCUGACUUAGAGAGCCUGCCUACUUCUAGACUAGUGUGGGGAGGACAAACUUCUCUGUUUAAAUCAUUGUUGUUAUAACAGUUUAAACUUACUUGAACUAAUGCAGACAUUAUCAGGAAAUGGGGUGUUUCUGCAAUACAAAAUUGAAGUAGAUUAUUGAUUGGUAAUUGAAGGGUAAAGAAAGAUAGGGCAGGCUGUCGAGUAAUUACCAGGUAAAAGUGAGCCACUGCAAGCAAAAGGAAAGGGAAUCCAGUUCUGCUGAUGACUCAUCCUAAAAUAAACAUCUGGAUUGGCUGAUUUGACAAUAUUUCAGGAACUCACAGAUUGGAAAACCAACUCUGUACCUUAAAACAGGAAAUACCUUUGUCCCUUAGCAUUUCUCAAAAGCCUCUAGUAUAUGUUCUCAACUAGCAAGUAGGAAUCCGCUCUACAAGGUAGUUUAAGGGCAUUCCACUCCUUCCUGAACCUAAUUAUUCUAGGUGGGCUCAAGGUAGUCAUCACUAAAUUGAGAGGUGAAUAUUGUCUUAGUUACUUUCCCGGUGCUAACACACAAUACCUGACACAACUCAAAGGAGAAGAGGUUUACUUUUUGCUCAUACUUUGUAGAGGUUACAGUCCGCAGUUGGUGACUCCUGGCUCCAAGGCAGGACAGCAUGGCAGAGGACAAGUGGCUCAUGGCAUGGCAGCAGGAAGCAGAACCGAGAGAAGAGAUAGAAAUACACUUUUCCAGACCAUGCCCCUAGUGACCCACUGCCUCCCACCAGGCCUUCCUCUCACCACAUUUAGCUAUAAACUCACCAGUUGAUAUGUCCACUGAGGCGUAUCAGGCCCCCAUGAUUCAAACACUUACCCAAAAUCCCAUUAAUGAGUCUUUGGGUGACAGCUAUAAAUCAUAACCAGAAAAUAAAGUAGAAUCUGAAAUUGUUUUUGUUUCUGAGAUAGAUAUGCAGUUCAGGCUACCCUUGUAACCCAAGCUGUCUUCAGGCUCCCAGUACAGUGAUCCUCCUGUCUCAGCCUUCGGAGUGUUAGGAUUACAGGGAUUUGCCAUCAUGACUUAAGUCAGAAGUUUUAAGAACAGUAACAUGACUUGAUUUUUGAGAAUGCCUUAACAUGGAAGUGAAUGUAAGUCUAAGAGACAACUCAAAUUUGAGAGUAGAUUAUUUUCCAAAGAAAUCCCAGUCAUGGUUCCUGUCUCCAACAAUUCCCAGUUGUAAACUACCAGCAGAAAAAAUACUGUUGAAGCCACAUAAUCACCAAGAGGGUGACUCAACAGCUCAUUUCAGAGGUGUGCCAAUUCACUUACACUUUUCAGCUGUAAAUUCUUCUUUGCCUAUAUGUUGGCCUUCAAAUAGUUUCCACCUAACAGGAGUUGGUAUGGUAUUGAGCUUUAUCAAUAAAAGUUUCUGGAGAGUUUGCAUGAGGAACGAGUAUUCUUUCCUGAUUUGGUGUGUUCAUCUGGUAGGCCCUUGUGACGUGGAUAACUUCUCCAUUGCCCAGAUCCUUCAGGGUACGUCUGUGAGCGGCACCCAGAGACAACAGCUUCAUCACGUAGCUGCAUAGUGAUGUGUCUAUAGCAAAAUGCCACCCAAUGAACAGUUACUAACACUUGAGCAGUGAUGACAAACCCAUGGCAUGCAUGCUGUAGCUGGCUGUUGUCAUUGAAAGCGCUAAAAAGCUCACCAUCACUGCUCUAAAGAGUGGAUUUCUGGUAAAUUCUGGUGGCUCAACCCUAUGGUGACUAACCUUGUCAUGUGUGAGAGAGAGUUCUGUGGGGCUUGUCCUGGAGGAUCUAUUUCAGGCCUAGAGAUAGUGGCUGCUGUUUGUAUCUAAUAUUCCUAUAUUCCUUUGAGUUCUCUGUAGUUCUAACUGGCAAGUCCUGCUUUUAGUAAUUAUUUGUAAUGAGCUUUCAGUGUUCAAAUCAGUGUGUGUGUGUGUGUGUGUGUGUGUGUGUUUCCUGAUCGGGGCCAAAUGGAUAUGACACCACAGUAGAAAAUAGAUAAAGAGAAUGAAUUUUCCGAAUGAUAAAUCCAGUGACCAUGGGGUGGCAGUAGUCAAAGGAAUUCCUGCAGGAAAUCAGAACCAGAGUUUAAGCAAGGAAUUUACUAAAUUUCCUGGGAAGGAAGCCUUCUGAAUUUCUGCCAAACUGAAAAUCAUAGUGAUUGCUAUUUCCCAUUUAUUUUCAUUAUGGUAGUUUCCCUUAUGGUGUUGUAUGCUACUCCACCAUUUUGCAUUGAGAUGUAUUGGAUUGCAAUUAACUUGUAUAAUAAUAAUAGUUGUUGGUCCUUGAGACCUUUGUAUCAAGAGGCAAAAAAUACUCAGAGAUCUCAGAUUUUGAACUGGGAACAAGGAUGAUCUUUAGUUGCAUUCCUUGGGGAAGACCUGUGUUUUUCAUAUGGGAGGAUUGUUGCAUUUGGAUACUUGGUCUAGAGGCUAAAGGUAGGUAGUAACUUCUAAUUGUUCCCCAAUAUAUGUUCCCUAUUUUCAUUUCAGUAAUAAAACACCUUGAAUUUUUGCUGAGUGUCUGCCCAACUGGAGACUACAUUUUUCCGAUUUCCUUGAUGGAUAGUAAGGCUGAAUUCUUGACAAUAGGAUGUGACAAGUGAUACAUGUUACUUCCCAGUCUUGUUUUAACACAGAUGUAUGCUGCUUGUGAACCAGUUUUGAACAUGUAGUCAAGGAGAGACUUUGGGAGUGGUUGAAGAACCCACAUAGAAAACCUGGGUUGCUGAAUGUGCCCUUGUGAAGCAGAGACUCCUGGAUUGCUUGCUUGCUUCUCGAAUGAUGUGUAAAAGAAUAAUAAAACUCCUCACUUUUUGUGUGUGUGUGGUUUAUUUUUUUUUGAGCUAGUCUGUUCCUGGUCUUUUUGUUACAUCAGCUAACCUGUUCUCUAACACUGUUGUUGUCACAUUUGUUUCAAAUGAUACGUAUUUCUUUCAAAUCUGACAUGAACUUUUACAGUGUUUCUUUCCCUUGAGCCUUCUUCUACCAUUUUUUUUUCCAGGCAGAAGUGUUUGCAGAAAUCUUUGUCUUCAUCUCAUUACUUUUUACUGUCACUGCCAGCAGGCAGAGCCCAUAACAUAAAUGUAAAAUUGUGUUCAGUAUAUGUUCCCUUGAGUUUGUAAUUAUAAUGCAUUCCAGGGUGCACCUAAAUAAGAAUCUGCUUUUCCAACCUAAGAUUGCUUUUGGUGCCAGUCACACAGUAAAAUAUACACACAGGCAAUAGCUGUAGUAACUAACACUAAAUGAGGCUGAGCAUAGUAUAAAACAUUAUCCGUUUUCAUUGCUAAUGAUCUGGGGAGAAUUGAGAUAAUAUGGAGGCCCUAAGGGUAGAAUGGGAGAAUUCUAAGAUUUGGAGGUGUACAAAAUACUUCACAAAAUAGUAUUUUUCUUCAUCUUCAGAAGCAGCAAGUGAUUAUGAUUUAUAUUAAAUAGGAUGAUCAGUAGAAUUUUAUUGGUAUUUUCUAUCAUUAAACCAUAAAUACUGAACAAAGUGUCAGAUACUGGUUUCAGUUAUAUAUUUGUGACAAUGAAAUAUGAACUUAAAAUAUUAAAACGAAUAUGAACAUGCAAAUUUUUAAAACACGUGAAAGUAAUCACUGUAAAAGUGACUAUUGAACUAUUUUAUUUUCUGAAUUAAAAUACAAUGUAUGUAGGGCCAGGGAUUUAGCUCAGUGGCGCCGCACCUGCCUCUCAAGCUCAAGGUUGUGAGUUUGAUCCCCCAGUACCAAAAAACAAAAAAAAUGCUGUAUGUAACAAAAUUUUACAUAUGAAGCCAAGGAUUAAAGUAGAUUAUUAUUGAAUGUUUAAACACAAAAUGUAGAGACAUCUGGAUCUAGAGCCUUUGUUAGAAGAAAGUAAUUUGUGAAGCAUUUGGUAAAAAUAUUCAAGUAAUUAGAAAUGCCUUCAAAUUCUAAAACGUGAAAAUACAUUUUGGAAAAUUAAAAUUAAUCAGAACUAGGAAUCAAAUAGAAUAAAGAUUUAGAAAUAAAGCAUUGUUUCCCAAAUUUCAAUCAUUUUCAGUUUUUGCUAUAUCAACACCUAAAAUAAUAUUUACCUAAUAUUCUAACUUUAUGAUUUUUUUAAAGCAUGAUUUUACUUGCCAUAUUUAACUAUAAUUUUCUUUAAAUAGAGCAGACAAUUUAAUGCAUAUGCAAAUAAAUACAUUGAAAUAUUCUUAGGUGUGCUAUGUAUAUUAUCUCACACCACCCACGCAGCAUACUUUAAUGAUUGAUAUAGAUUGCAGUACAUAAAAUCUUCUAAUAUUCAGGGCAUAGGUAAAUUUUUAAAAAUCUGCUUGACUUAAAAUCUUACUGUGUCAAGUGAAUUCAUGCCCUAAUUGGUCCGUCAGUCAGUCAUGAGUGGUCAUAAUGGGUGUGUCUCUUCCAUCACUUCAAGAUACCAAGGCUGAAACAAACCAAUAAAACUUGAAACACUAUAAAUAGAAGUAUGAUGCUGGAACAGCAUGCUGAUAUUAAUAAAGUUAACCUCACUGCCUAAGUAAACUGCUCAAACUUCACAUUACUACAGUAAUGAGAUAAAGGCAAGUAGCUGGCCUGCCAGUGAACUGUAUCUAAGAUUUAAUAUAUUUGUAUGCCAUUAGGUUAUUUUAAAAAACUUUUUCAAGACUUUGAUUUAUCCAAAACAGUUUAAUUCCAUAAACCCUGGACUUCAACAACAUUCUAGAUUUUUGUGAUUAAGCUUGUGCUUUUUGGAUGUUUGUAAAUUGCUAUUUGAAAAUACCUCUCAAAAUUCAAAUUUACUUAUUAGGCAGUAAAUAAAACUACUAAAAAGACUUCUACAAAAUGCCAUUCAUUUUUAUUAACUAUGACACAGGGAAAUGAUUUGUAUUUGGGGAGAAAAUAUUGAGGAUAGCAUAGCAUCCAGUAUCCUGAAUUAUCAUCUGCUAAGACACUUGAUUAUGGAGGAGCAAAACAUAUCACUGAGGUUCAAGCCCAUGCAAUUGUUGGAGUUUUGUCCAGAAAUGAGGUGCGUGUUAAACUUUGGAUACUACAUAUGCUUUUGAUGUAUUAAGGCUAAGUAGUGACACCUUAAUACUUCAUAAAACACAGUACAGUGGACUAUGGGGAACAAGUCUGUGCACAGAAAACCCUUUUGAUCAACCCAUGCUUUUGCAGCAUGCUGAAAACAGAUGUGUUCACUUUUUACUGCUAUGUAACAUCACUAAAAACUUAGUAGCUUACAAAAAUAACCACUCGUUAGCUUGCAGUUCUGCAGAUCAGAAGUCCAGGACCAGUGUGCCUGGGUUGUGCUCAGGUUAACAGGAGAUACUGUAUUAGGCAACUAAAUUCUUCCAUGUCAGUGUCCUUUUCCUAACUCAUUCGUGUGGCAGAAUCUAGUUCUUUGUGGUUAUAGGACUGAGGUCCCCCAUUUCCUGGCUGUCAGCUAGACUUCUAAACUCCUCAGAUUGCUCCUAGUGGACAGUACUUACUGUAAGGUCCCCUCCAUCUCAGCAACUGAAUAGUGUAGCAGUCAGAGUCUGUGGGCAGAGAAAAUUAUCUGUAUUAAAGGGUUUAUUUAAGUAGGGUCUUCCAGAAGAAUCUCCCUAUCUCAAGGUUAGCAGUUUUAUAUAACAAUCUAACCACAGGAGUAGAAUAGAAUAAAUUCGUAGUCCUGAUUAUUAUGUAUGCUGUAUGUACCCAAGACAGGAAAUAUUGGAGGACAUCUUAGAGUCUUGCCUAGAUACUUUGUUUUCAAUUUCAGCCUUUUAGAUUUUUUUUUGGCUUCUGUCUUCACACUCAAUCAUUUUUUUAAAAUCUACAUUUUCCCCCAAAGAAACUCACAAAAACUCAAAUUGCCAUUGUUUUUCUAUGUAUAAGGAAGUGUACGAAAAGAUGUGUGUUCUUGGAUUUGCAAACAAGUUUCAAUAAUACCAAAAUAGCUUUCAUGCUAUUUAUAUUUCUCUUUGCAAAUAUAGCUUCAACUAAACCAUUAAUUUAUGAUGAAGCACUUUUGUGACAACAUGGUUAAAAUAGUGAAGACACGACUUCAAUAUGAUUUUUUCAACAAGUUUCAAGCCUACUGUGUAAGCAAGUAGGUUUAUUUCAAUGCUAAGAAUAAUUUUUAUGAAUAUCUUUCUACACAACAGGCACUAAGAAAAUACAGAAGUGAAAAUUAUUUUGUUAAAUUCUUUUAUUGGUACAUUUUAGGUAUACAACACAAUUACAUUUCUCAUUGGGAAUUGUACCUUUACAUAAUGCAUCUUGGUUCUUAUUUGAGAAGUGGUGAAAAUUAGUUAUUGGUGAUUUGACUGAGUCUAUGCCUCACCUCCUCUUCGUGUAUUAGUUGGCUUCUUUUAGUAACGAAUUUUGAGCCGAAACAUUUGAUUUAUCAAAGUAUAGAAAAAAAUACCAAGGAAACAAGGAACUUGAUGGAGCUUAGUAAAAACACAAGAUGCGCAACUAUGUAUCAAAUUGACCACUUUCAAGUCAAGAUAAAGACCAAUGAGUAAGAAGAAAAUUUUCUGUGGCAAAGUGCAGUAUAGUGGAAAGAAUAAUAAAGAGUCCGACCCUGGACAAGCUGUUUAAACAACUUGUAUGAGUCUCAGUUAUUUCACUUUAAAAGGAGAGUGAUUCCCUACUUCACUCAGUUGGGAGAAUUGAAUGAUUCAUCAAAUGUAUAGCCAGUAAAAAGUGUUCAAUAAAUACUUUCCUUCUCUGAAUAAUUUACUAAAUUAUCAAAUUAAUUUUAAAUGGGAGAAAUUACUUUUUAGAAGUUAGAGGAUGCUCCAUAAACUUACUUAAUUUGUAAAGUUUGUAGAUUCAACUACAGAUACACAAAGCCAACAACAGGGAUAGAAUAACAGUAACCUAAGUAAUAAUAAAGUACCUUUAAGAUUUUUAAAGAGAGGACAUUCAAUAGUGAAAUUACAAGAGAGAAAAAUUGAGUUAAGUCAAAUAAGAUAUGUCAACCCAAUGAUUAGCAACAGAAGGUGGGCACCAUCUCCCUACACUGGAGGAACAAAGAGAGAAGGAAAUGUCCCUGAAACCCAGGUGACAAGAGUCAAGGAAAUACAGCCACUGCUCAGAGAUGCUACCAAUGGCAGAGGGAGAAAUAUCCUGGUUUCUUCCUUACAAUAAAACAGAUGAAAAAGGCACCAUUCUAUGUGGUUGGUGAGACUGUAAACUAGUACAACCACUAUGGAAAUCAGUGUGAAGAUUCCUGAAAAAACUAAAACUAGAAAGUCCAUUUUACCAAGGUAUUCCUCUUCUGGGUAUCUUCCCAAAAGAGUUAAAAGAUAUCAAACUACGGUGGUAUACACAUACUCAUAUUUAUACCACCACAACUCAUAAUCCAUCAGAAGAAUAGAUAAGAAAAAUGUGGUAUCUAUGCACUGUGGAGCACUACC